GACCCAGCACGACCAAAAAUAAUAAAAAGAAAGAAAAGACUCUGGGUGACCCAAUAUAUGUGCCCCUCUUCUUCUGGUUAUCAACCUAGAACCAACGGAGGACAGAAAUCUUCAAAUCGACUAGAAGCGUCAGUGAUGUGCAGGGUAGAGACACUUUGCCCAUUGGAUCUGCUUGACUAGCAUGGACUUUGUUCCUACUGGGUUUUCCCAAAGCUCACAGGUGAGCUCACCCACCUGUGAGCUCUCCGGAGGCUCAGGAUCUGGCUGCCCAGGUGCCGAGGACGAAGUGCUGGCUGCCCUGUACCUGGACAGUCCAGGAAGCACCCUGAGCAUCUGCCUGCAGUUUGCACACCCGUUGGAAAGGCCCCCUUGGGGGAAAAGGGAGGAAGAGCUGCUGGAGGGAAGAGAGGAAGAAGGACAGACAGUUGGUCUGCAUGGAAGGCAUCUAGCACAGGUGUGUGUAGCAGCAGGUGUCAGCCUGCAGCAGAACCCCCACGGUUCCCUGGCCCUGCAAAGGGAAAUGAGAGGGAGAGGGGAGCUGGCCGGGCUCCUGAGGAGCCGCAGCCUGGAACUGCAGCGCCCGCCUCUGUGUAUACAGCACGCACACCUGCUCCUCCCCGCCAAGUAUCGAUCCGAGGCCUGGAGUACACAGGCAUCUCAGAGAGCUGGGUCUUCACUGCAGGCUUACUAGUGCUUCUAAACAAUUAUUGCCCGGGGGCUGUGUUGCUGUGUCUCUGAACACCCACUCAGGAGUCCCACCAAGCCUCCACUUUGGCGGAGUAUGGAUGAGGGAGUGGCCAGGGCGUCCAGGUUUGUCUGCUGGAGAUGACCAUACACAGGAAACUGUAGAUCAAGCGGAGGAAGAAAGGGUCCCAGAAGCAAAGCCUGAGCAUCCUGGGUUCAGCAGAGCUUUUAUCCCUUACUCUCACUGAUGGCAGGCAAACCAGUGGUGGUUGGUGGCGGGGUAGAAAGGGCGGGAGGUGAGCGGGGGCAGCAGGAACAGGAAAGAGCAGGCACCACCACUCCCUUAUGUUCACAGCAGAGCAUGGGCUCCUUAUCAGCAUCCCUACUGUACUUCAGAAUCCUCCUCAACAGCUGCCCUUGCGGUCAGCGCUGGCCCUGGAGAGGGAGAGGAGAGCUGUCCUGUAGGAUGCUCAUCCUGGCUGCCUCCAUGGCCUCUGUGCCUCUGGAGGUAUCCCUCCACCCGUGAGACUUUCAUGGUCCCAGCUGGAAGAAGCAGGAAAGUUGCUCCUCCCCAAGUAUUUGUUCUCUCUUUGCACGGAGGCUGGAACAAAAGCCCAGAAAUCCCUGCUCCAGAGUUCUGUGUGGUGUGGAACCUGGGAGACCUGGGAAAUCAUCAAGCCCAAAAUUGAAAGGGACGGUGUGGGGCCGGGGGUAUGUGUGACCAGGGAGAUCAUGGUGCCGAUGAUAACCGCCCCCACCCCCCAACCCAGGGUGCUGCACAGGCCAGCCCGAUCUGAAUACUCUGCACGUGUAAGUCCAUUCAACACCCCGAACCACCCUGGAACUAAACACUGAAACCUUCCUAUCCCACACACAAGGAAAUGGACUCAGCCAGGUUGAGUAACCUGUCUACACAGCUGCUGCUGCUGCUGCUUCUACUACUAGGCUGAGAUCAGAUCACAGGGAAGCUGGGUUCAAAGUCCAUGCUUUUAACUACUCUUAUGCUAUAAAACAAACAAACAAAAAAAUCAAAUCCAAAAUCAAAAGCCGAUUUUCAUCCACCAGACUGAUGGCAAGUAAUAGGUUUGAUACGAUCGAAUCACCAUGAGGCUGGCGAGGGGCCUGCACCUCAUUACAUCCAAAAAGGCCUGCAGGGCUAGGACUGGGGCUGGAGGCUGGUGGGCACUUUCAUCUUAUCUGUGUUUAUUCUGCAAUGCACAAUAUACUUGUACAGGACUUGGGUUCAUAACUCAUAAGAGAGAGAGAGAAGUGAAGAUGGUUGAGGAAAAGAACCAAAGAUAAAGACCUGAGGGUUUUUGGAGUCCAAAACCUCUGAUGUGAAUUCAAACAUUGAAUGUGACCUCUUGGCUACAGAAAUUCUGCCGGCCUUGAGCCUUGGAGGAGCUCAUGUUUUCCUCCAGCACACAUUUCUUUACUGAGGACCCCUGUGUUCCAGGCUCUGGGUCGGGCUCUCGGCUCUUUCCACACGAACCCAGGGUGUGUCCUGACAGUACCGUCUCACAUCUGUCCCCAGUCCGGGUGCCUCUGUGGCGAUGAGGUCAUGGCCGCACACAGGGAGGAGCGGGUUCACCCCUCAGCUCCAAUUUGUGCUGGGCUGUUGCCCCAGAGCAGCUGCUGCAGCAACAUUUACUUUGUACAGCGGCCAAGAGGGAGAGGGAGAGGGAGAGAGCGAGCCGGCAAGAGUGAGCGCGCAUGAGCCUACCCCAUUCCAAAAUAUUUCUGACAAAAUCUGGCACUCCUGGUUCUAAUCAAAAUACUGAACUUUGGAACAAAUUAACAUUCCACAGCCUUGCAGGGAAGGAGAACUCAGCCGAGACAACUUCAGUUCACAACCACAACAAAAAUAGCUUCUCCCGGGGAAGACACAGUCUGCUAACAAGGUCACUUUUGUUUUGCUUCCCCUGCCAUCUGGCUGAGUGGCACCAGAGACUGGAUUUGGUACCGACUUCUUCUGCCGAGAGUGGAUGGGAGCCGGGUGGCGCUGCAGAAGGCUUCUCAGCCUCCUGGCAAAGGGUGCCGGCACAAAGUUACCUUCAGACACCCCCCAGCAAGCACGCGGGCAGAUGGAGCCCCGGUUUCACCCAGCCCGACUCAGCUCUGAGCUCCGCGUGUGCAGAAGGUGUGACACAGCAGACAGCAACAAGCAGGUGGGAGUCAGGGGAGAGUGAAAAACACGACAGGAUGGGGAGGCUAUCUUCGUCUCGAAAAGCAUUCCAGGACUCAACGCAGCGCUCGCUCUGGCAAGUCGGGAGUCUGAGUUCCAGAAGGCGAACAAAGAAGCAUGAUUUUGGGAUGGAAUCACCUGCACUCGUGGGUGAAGAGAGCAGAUGUCACUGCCUACGGGCGUCAGGCUGGAGUUCCCAAAGAACGUGAGUGCCCUGUGACCUGGUAGCCCAGGAGGGCUUCCAUGUAGAAAGACCCCUCAACAGCCCUCUACAGAACUUCCAACGUGACAUAGUCUUCCCAGAGUUACUUCAUUUUGAAGGUGUGGAGCUGGGAUUUGAACACAAGCCUUUUGCUUACGAAGAUUCUGCUGCUUCUUCUAUACCAACGAUUUUCAAUCUUUUAAAAAAGGAUCAAAAGCCAUGAAUAUCCACAAGGGGUUCACGGCCUAAUAAAACCAUGUCCCUCUCA